rnacentral:rRNA from 1 species
CCUACGGGAGGCAGCAGUGAGGAAUAUUGGUCAAUGGACGAGAGUCUGAACCAGCCAAGUAGCGUGAAGGAUGACUGCCCUAUGGGUUGUAAACUUCUUUUAUAUGGGAAUAAAAUGUUCCACGUGUGGGAUUUUGUAUGUACCAUAUGAAUAAGGAUCGGCUAACUCCGUGCCAGCAGCCGCGGUAAUCCGGAGGGUCCGAGCGUUAUCCGGAUGUAUUGGGUUUAAAGGGAGCGUAGGUGGAUUGUUAAGUCAGUUGUGAAAGUUUGCGGCUCAACCGGAAAAUUGCAGUUGAAACUGGCAGUCUUGAGUACAGUAGAGGUGGGCGGAAUUCGUGGUGUAGCGGUGAAAUGCUUAGAUAUCACGAAGAACUCCGAUUGCGAAGGCAGCUCACUGGACUGCAACUGACACUGAGGCUCGAAAGUGUGGGUAUCAAACAGGAUUAGAUACCCUAGUAGUC